AGGCUUCAAAGAUUUUCAUCCUGGCCAAGA
rnacentral:piRNA from 1 species